AGAGUUUGAUCCUGGCUCAGAACGAACGCUUGCGGCGCGCCUAAUACAUGCAAGUCGAACGAGGUAGCAAUACCAAGUGGCGCACGGGUGAGUAACACGUGGAUAAUGUGCCAUUUAGUGGGGAAUAACUGACCGAAAGGUCAGCUAAUACCGCAUGAGACCACAGUCCCUGAGGGGACAGAGGUUAAAGAUUUAUCGCUAAAUGAUCAGUCUGCGUAAGAUUAGCUAGUUGGUGAGGUAAUGGCUCACCAAGGCAACGAUCUUUAGGUGGUCUGAGAGGAUGACCACCCACACUGGAACUGAGACACGGUCCAGACUCCUACGGGAGGCAGCAGUAGGGAAUAUUGCACAAUGGGGGAAACCCUGAUGCAGCGACGCCGCGUGAGUGAUGAAGGCCUUCGGGUCGUAAAGCUCUGUUGAAUGGGAAUAAAAAAAUGAAGGUACCAUUUAAGAAAGGAUCGGCUAACUUCGUGCCAGCAGCCGCGGUAAUACGAGGGAUCCUAGCGUUGUUCGGAAUCAUUGGGCGUAAAGAGUAUGUAGGCGGCCUUGUAAGUCAGUUGUGAAAGCCCCGGGCUCAACCCGGGAAGUGCAAUUGAUACUGCAUGGCUUGAAUGUGGAAGAGGGCAGUAGAAUUCCAGGUGUAGUGGUGAAAUACGUAGAUAUCUGGAGGAAUACCGGUGGCGAAGGCGGCUGCCUGGUCCUACAUUGACGCUGAGAUACGAAAGCGUGGGGAGCAAACAGGAUUAGAUACCCCCGUAGUCC
rnacentral:rRNA from 1 species